UAAAUAUAAUAUUAUUAAUUUAUUUAUGAAAGGUGUCGAAAGUUAAUGAAAUCAUUUUUGUUAAGUUAGGUUUUGUAUAGGAUAUAGAAAAAAUUGUUUGAAUGAUAGUUGAAUUGUAUUGUGAAAGAAUUAUGAAAUAUUAUGAAAAUAUUUUUUAUUAAAAGUAAAUUUGAUUUAUUGUACCUUGUGUAUCAGGGUUUAUUAAAAUUGUAACUAAGAUAUUGGUUAAUCCCGAUUUAAAGAGAGCUAAGUAAAUAUAUUAGUUAAUGUGGAAUAAUUAUUAAUAAUGUUUAUUUAGUAAUGAAACGUUAUUCGUUCUUUAAGAUAUCUGGUUUUUUAAGAAAUGAAUUUAAUUCAUGUAAUAAUUUUUAUUAAUUUAAGUUUUUUAAAUUUAAUAUGUUUUGUUACAAAUAUUUUGGGGGAUGAGCUUCAAGAUAUUGAUUAAAAAUAGUAAUUAAUUUUAAAAAAAGUUGUAGGCUUAGAGUUAGCCAUCAAUAAAAGGAUGUCAUAAUUUAUGUUUUUUGAAAAUAAUUUACAUAAUGUUUAAGUAGUUUAUUAAAAUUUGAAUUGUAAUAAUUGAAAUUUGGUAAUAAUGAUAAAAUUAGUAUAAAUUAAUGUUAGUAAUUUAAUAUAAAUGAAAGGUUAUAUUAAGGAACUAGGCAAAUUAAUACUCGCCUGUUUAACAAAAACAUGUCUUCUUGAUUUUAAUUUGAAGUCUGACCUGCCCACUGACUGUAAUCGUUAAAGGGCCGCGGUAUUUUGACCGUGCAAAGGUAGCAUAAUCAUUAGUCUUUUUAUUGAAGGCUUGUAUGAAUGGUUGGACGAGGUAUUGACUGUCUCUGUGUUAUUGAAAUUAGAAUUUAACUUUUAAGUUAAAAGGCUUAAUUGAGUUUAAAGGACGAGAAGACCCUAUAGAGCUUUACAGUUAAUUUUUAUUAUUUAUUUAGAAGUAUUUUUAUAGUAAAAUAAAAACUGUUUUGUUGGGGUGACAGGAAGAUGAAAUAAACUCUUUUUAGAUUAAAAACAUAAAUUAAUGAAUUGUUGAUCCAUUAGUAGUGAUUAUAAGACUAAGUUACCUUAGGGAUAACAGCGUAAUCUUUUUCGAGAGUUCUUAUCGACAAAAAGGAUUGCGACCUCGAUGUUGGAUUAAGAGUAAUUUUGGGUGUAGAUGUUCAAAGUUUAGGUCUGUUCGACCUUUAAAUUCUUACAUGAUCUGAGUUCAGACCGGCGUAAGCCAGGUCGGUUUCUAUCCUUAAAUAAAAUUGGUAUUUUAGUACGAAAGGACCAAAUACUGGAAACAAAUAGGUUUUUAAAAAAUGAAUAAAAUUAAUUUAAUGA
rnacentral:rRNA from 1 species